ensembl:lncRNA
AAGAACUUGAGGAUACUAGUGAAUGGAAAGCUGGACAUGAACCAGCAAUGUGUCCUUGCAGCCCAGAAAGCCAACUGAUCUGUGUGCUAUAAAUGCACCAGAGUAUGACCCACUUGUGCCCUAGGCUCAGAAGUGUUUGAAUCUGUACAGUUUUAUAGCCUUGGAAUAUAUUUUGUUACCAGAAGAAAACGUUGGCAUGAUCCUCACAGUCAGUUACCAAUGGCGUUUCUGCUCCAUGCACCAUGGAAGAAACAGGCUGGAGAGAGACUGAAAGACUUUAUCUGACUCUUACAAACAGCGGGUUAUUGAAAGAAACAUCACAGCUUUCCUUAAGUUUGAAUAUGCUAUUAUUUUGUCUUUAUAAAAAGCUCAAAGUUGGGAUAAAACAGCUGUAUCUACAAAACACCAGCAACCUCUAUUAAUAACUUGAAUGAAUGUUUCAGCUUGGAGUCUGAGGCACAAAUGAUUCCAGGAGUAUUUUUGAUUACAAAGCACUGGAAUAUUUCAGGCAUUAACUUUUUUGAGCAGUAGAUUCUUGUAAAUGAAAAAAGAAAAAAAAGACGUAUGCAAAAAAGUAUGGUAUUAUAUUGUGUUCCUGUACUGUAUGUUGAUGUUAAAAGCAAGUUAUCUGACUGAACACUACCAGCAGGCUACUCAAAUGUGAACACUGCUGAAUUAGGACAAUAAUGGUAAGUGGUAGCAAAGUACAGCCAUGAAGGUCAAGAUUAUGGAAAUUUUUAGUGAGUUUCUGCACAGAGAAGUUGUGGAUUCUGGAAAAAAAGACUACAAAGAUAAAAUUCAGAGCUAGAAAAAGAACUUGACCAUUAACAUUUAUAUAGCUACACUACAAAGCAGAGAAGACAGUCAGAAAGGUCAGGUAAUAAAAUGUAUAGGAUUUUUAUGACCCAGAAGUGCUCUGAGGGAUGUUAAAUUGGUUAAGGCUAAUGUUUGACUGCUUAAUGAAAAGCAAAAUUUUCUAUCUGUUCAGCUUCAGACUUUUCACAAAAUGUAAAAAUGUUAACCUUUCUAUUUUUACCUAAAGAUGUAGGCACAAAGAAUUGUGAAAAAACAGGAAGUUUGGUGACUGUUUGAAAUUCCAAUUGUAUGUUAGAAGUAUGAAAAAAUACAAGAGGAAAGAAAUGUUAUUAUUUGCUGUAUCAGAGGUAAAUGAAAUAAAG